GUCUUUGGCUGCAGUAGAGCCAUUAGGAAGCACGCUAAGUGAGCUGCGCCCAGUGGAUGGGAGUUGGAGCAUGGAGAAGUGGAGUAUAGAGCACAAGUGUCUUUUUAUCCAACCCAGCACAGAUAUGUCUACUUGGGAGAUACUCUUCCCAGGGAACGUGUGAAUGAGGUCAAGCUCCAGCGAGAAGCUGAGAAUUGGCUGCACUCAUCCGAGGCCAGAGGCUAGAGAGAUGCUUAUAGCACACAGAGAUAUCUGGACUCCAGGAUUGAGAGACAACGGACUCUGCUGUUUUAAGCCCACAGUUUGUGGCAGAUGGUUACGCAGCCCUAAGGAAACUAACAACCUGACCUGCCCUUCAGGUGCUCCCUGUUGGCACUACUCCCAACCCAGUACACACUCCUAUAUUUUCCUUUUCCGUGUGGUUUUGCAACUGCUCUGUGACUUUGUUGCCUUCCACACUAGACCCCAAGCCCCUGCAAGGUGGGGAUUUUGUCACCUGUGACCUUCUGCCAAGUUCCAGCAUCUCCUUCAAGCAGGCAUCACGCCAUUAGCAGAGUAAGAGCAAGAUGACAGAGAGUCAAACUUGCCCUUUAAAAUUUCUAAAUCUUUCACAAACACC
ensembl:lncRNA